rnacentral:rRNA from 1 species
AUUGAACGCUGGCGGCAUGCUUUACACAUGCAAGUCGAACGGUAACAGCACUUCGGUGGCUGACGAGUGGCGAACGGGUGAGUAAUACAUCGGAACGGGCCUAGUAGUGGUGGAUAACUACUCGAAAGAGUAGCUAAUACCGCAUGAGAUCUAAGGAUGAAAGCAGGGGACCUUCGGGCCUUGCGCUACUAGAGCGGCUGAUGGCAGAUUAGGUAGUUGGUGGGAUAAAAGCUUACCAAGCCGACGAUCUGUAGCUGGUCUGAGAGGACGACCAGCCACACUGGAACUGAGACACGGCCCAGACUCCUACGGGAGGCAGCAGUGGGGAAUUUUGGACAAUGGGCGCAAGCCUGAUCCAGCAAUGCCGCGUGCAGGAUGAAGGCCUUCGGGUUGUAAACUGCUUUUGUACGGAAAGAAAAGCCCUCUUCGAAUACAGGAGGGUCAUGACGGUACCGUAAGAAUAAGCACCGGCUAACUACGUG